AGCACCUCGAGAAUCCGUCGGAAAACUAGUGAAACCAUUGAACCACUAGAGAAAGCUAUCGGAGAUUUCGCAUGGAAGCGGACGGCAAGAACACAACAAUGGAAAAAGUCAUGUUGACGGUAAAAACAAGACAACGGAAAAGUUGUGUUAACGGCUAAACUGACGAUGAUACCAAACUUCGGCCGAUCACAAAAUCCAGCAAACUAAGCUGGAUGGUGAUGACUUGAAGAACCUCCCUCUCUCUAAAAAGUAUUAGAGAGAGAAGAAAGAGAGAGGUUGGCCAUCUCUAGCGCAUGUGUAUCCCUUCUAAAUUCUAAUAGAUGAAAACUACAGUAUUUUAUUCUUUAAAACAGUAGUUUAAGAUGAAAAAACAAAAACAAAAUACAUCAAAAUUACUUUUUUUGGUUUCCGGCAAAGUUCGGUUUGUUGCGAGCUUUUGUUAGCAUUUGUGGCUAUUUCUUUUUAGUUUUUUCUUCUCCUUUCCUUUUGCAGAUGUCGUUAGAGGCAAAAUCUGAGGGGUAAUUCCAAGAUUCUGAAUAUU